AAGUCGUAACAAGGUUUCCGUAGGUGAACCUGCGGAAGGAUCAUUAUCACGUAUCCACACGUUUAUUACCAACCGUGAACCGUUUUCGGUCCGCAUAUUUUACUAUAUAUGUGUUAGACCAAAACAAAAAUCCCCAUGAGAUGAUUUGUUCUUACACCUGUGUAAGUGCACUUCACUUUUGGGUUAUUUUUUUGAACCAUUAACCAAUAAAACCCCAUAUUAAUACAUUUAUUACUUACAGUUGUUUCUUACCUUUGUUAAUUUCAGAGGAAGAAAUGUUAACAAAUACGUAACAUAAAAAAGAACAACUCUUAGCAACGGAUAUCUAGGUUCUC
rnacentral:misc_RNA from 1 species